GAUGAACGCUGGCGGCGUGCCUAAUACAUGCAAGUCGAGCGAACGGACGAGAAGCUUGCUUUUCUGAUGUUAGCGGCGGACGGGUGAGUAACACGUGGAUAACCUACCUAUAAGACUGGGAUAACUUCGGGAAACCGGAGCUAAUACCGGAUAAUAUUUUGAACCGCAUGGUUCAAAAGUGAAAGACGGUCUUGCUGUCACUUAUAGAUGGAUCCGCGCUGCAUUAGCUAGUUGGUAAGGUAACGGCUUACCAAGGCAACGAUGCAUAGCAGACCUGAGAGGGUGAUCGGCCACACUGGAACUGAGACACGGUCCAGACUCCUACUGGAGGCAGCAGUAGGGAAUCUUCCGCAAUGGGCGAAAGCCUGACGGAGCAACGCCGCGUGAGUGAUGAAGGUCUUCGGAUCGUAAAACUCUGUUAUUAGGGAAGAACAUAUGUGUAAGUAACUGUGCACAUCUUGACGGUACCUAAUCAGAAAGCCACGGCUAACUACGUG
rnacentral:rRNA from 1 species